GGUGUUUAUGGUGACCGUGGUAUAUUAAGAAUGUGUGCUGUGUUUGUCAACUUGAGCAGUUGUAGAUUUGAGAUACUUAUGUAGGUAAGAGGGUUGCUCUAGUGAAGCAAUGACGGACGACAUCUUUGGGUCCGAGUGCCAGCCUUGACUAAUGGUGUCUAACCCCUUAAGGCUACAAGAGAGUGAGACGCCGUUGAGCCAUGCUAUUCGUCACCCUCCAAAGGUCACCGAUAAUGGUUCUGAGCUUUGGGGCCUUCUUAAGGCUCCAAUGGUCGUUUGAAAGAAGGGCAUCAGUGGGUGGUUUGGAAGGCUCUCUUGUGCUUGACUGGUAUUUCAAUUGUAAGAGACUAGAUGUUUUCUCUUCUAGACGGUAGGUGGAGAUAGGCAACGAACUGAGAAAGCUGGUUGAUCUUCGAGCUUUGAUGUGCCUAACCCUAGGGUUUCCAUGUUCGUAGACCUAUGGGCCUUAUAAUAUGAUUAGGGCUGACUGGGCCCCAAAUUCUCUAU
rnacentral:misc_RNA from 1 species